rnacentral:rRNA from 1 species
CAGCCGCCGCGGGAAUACGAAGGGUGCAAGCGUUAAUCGGAAUUACUGGGCGUAAAGCGUGCGUAGGCGGUGAGUUAAGUCUGCUGUGAAAUCCCCGGGCUCAACCUGGGAAUGGCAGUGGAUACUGGCUCGCUAGAGUGUGUCAGAGGAUGGUGGAAUUCCCGGUGUAGCGGUGAAAUGCGUAGAGAUCGGGAGGAACAUCAGUGGCGAAGGCGGCCAUCUGGGACAACACUGACGCUGAGGCACGAAAGCGUGGGGAGCAAACAGGAUUAGAGACCCGCGUAGUCCCUGUCUCUUAUAA